UUGAUUGUUUUUAUCUCAAACGGUUUUAACCGAGAUAAACUAUAUAUGUAUACAUAUGUUGUUGUAUUAGAUAUAUUUAUGUGGUUUGGAAAUAUUUAAAAAGUUUGAUUUAAACUUUUAGAUUUAAUAUGGGAAGUAGUGCAUCCCGAAAGAAUGAAUGGCUAUAUGAAUCAACAACAAUAAGAGAAGAGCAUUCAGAUGGAAGUGCUUUACAUAGAAACAAUACCAGAUUGGGUUUCAAAGGAAAGGAAUCAGAAUUUGGAGCAGGACUAAAAGCAGAGUUACUUGGGUUAGGAAAAGUCAAUGCUGGAAAUACCAAAAUGAAAGCUAUAUCCAAUGGUGAUUAAUGCACAUAUGGGUGUCUUAUGAAAUAAAUUUAAUUGUGUUAAUAUUUGUAUAUUUUAUUUUAAAUUGUAAAGUUGAAGCCUUAGAUGUAAUCGUUUCCCAUAAAAGAGAAGACCCAAAAGAUACCAAAGGGAUAUUCAAGCUCGUUAGUCUAAGACAAACCGACAACCCCAUGGAAAGAAACGAAAAACUACCAAAAGAAAAACAACACAAGAUAACUUGUUGUACACUGAUAUACUGUUUCAGUGACAUUUUUGUGUGUAAUUUGUAAUUGAUAUCCUUAUCAUGAUUUUUACAAAAAAUAUUGUUUUUUGGAACAUGCAGGUUUUUUUAAUCUAUCAAAAAUAAACUUUAUUUCAAAGUA